GGCGACACUGUCAGGGUCGUGGGCCUCGGCCACACGCUGAGCUGCCUCCCAGUCCUGAUUGUGAACAAACCUGCCCCCAAAUGGGGACAGAGGAGAGACUGAGUAUAGGACUGAGGCCCCAAUUCUGGGAGACAAACAGCCAUGUCACUGAGGGGUGUCAUAUUGAUUUAUUCUAGAUUUGAAUGAAGGUCAAGAUAAUCAUGAAAGAUCCGGGGACUGUGACUGGGGAAACAGGAUUAAGGAAUGUAUGGGGGAGAAGGACAGCCGUGCGUGAUGAGAAGGAGACUGGCAUCACAGGCAGCCCCGAGACCAGGGUCUGCACACCAGCAGCAGUGUACUAGGGCAUGGAACAAGAGGGCUCUGCGGUCAGCGUCCAAAUCACACCCAUACCUCAUCCUCCAGGUACAUAGCGUAUUUGAGAUGGAUCUCGGGGGUUUUGUGCUUGAGGGCCAGCCGAGAGAGUUCAAAAGCAAAUUCAAAGGAGCUGAAACAGAAGGUGCAGAUAAAGUUUUCUUACUUCACACUUCCCUUCAUAAAAGGAACAAGACAAAACAGAGAAAGGACAGGGUUGAGGGGAGAAAAAGUGACAGGUUUAAGGAUAACAGACAUGAAGUGA